rnacentral:rRNA from 1 species
GACGAACGCUGGCGGCGUGCUUAACACAUGCAAGUCGAACGGAAAGGCCCUGCUUUUGUGGGUUUCUCGAGUGGCGAACGGGUGAGUAACACGUGUGUAACCUGCCCUUGACUUUGGGAUAACUUCACGAAACUGGGGCUAAUACCGGAUAGGAUCUCCUGCUGCAUGGUGGGGGUUGGAAAGUUUCGGCGGUUGUGGAUGGACUCGCGGCUUAUCAGCUUGUUGGUGGGGUAGUUGCUUACCAAGGGUUUGACGGGUAGCCGGCCUGAGAGGGUGACCGGCCACAUUGGGACUGAGAUACGGCCCAGAAUCCUACGGGCGGCAGCAGUGGGGAAUAUUGCACAAUGGGCGGAAGCGUGAGGCAGAAACGCCGCGUGCGGGAUGACGGCUUUCGGGUUGUAAACCGCUUUCGCCUGUGACGAAGCGUGAGUGACGGUAAUGGGUAAAGAAGCACCGGCUAACUACGUG